AUUCGAUCGUGUCAGCGCAAAAAUGGUGAACCCAGCACAAAACGAAAGUGAGAUCCAACAGUCAUCUGUUGAACUUGCACACAGACGACAAAAAGCUGCAGAACAUUUCUUUAGGAUGUCCAUUGUUGACAGCACUUUCAGCAGGUAGCAUCGUCUUUGGAAUUGUAAUGAUUGUCUAUUUAGACCGAAGUUUUAGUUUCUCGGUGGACACAGGCGCUCUUAUAUGGUCGGGAGCAGUGCUCUUGCUCAGUGGUAUGUCUUGUUAUUUUGUCUCUAAGAUGGAUAUUAAUAAUAGAAAUCUGCCAUCUU